UCCGAGUUGACCCCGGCAGUCUCCUAUGAGUCCCCGGCAUUACCCGCUGGCAACAUAGAACGAGGGUUGCGCUCGUUGCGGGACUUAACCCAACAUCUCACGACACGAGCUGACGACAACCAUGCACCACCUGUGCACGGCCCUUACGGACCCACCAUCUCUGGAGGAUUUCCGUGCAUGUCAAGUCUGGGUAAGGUUCUUCGCGUUGCAUCGAAUUAAACCACAUGCUCCACUGCUUGUGCGGGUCCCCGUCAAUUCUUUUGAGUUUCACCCUUAUUGUUAGUUGCCAACAGGUAGUGCUGGGAACUCUAACGAGACUGCCCGGGUUAACCGGGAGGAAGGUGGAUGACGUACGGAAUGUCGAUA
rnacentral:misc_RNA from 1 species